rnacentral:ncRNA from 1 species
UUAAAGUUUUAUUCUUGCUUAUUUUUAUUUUUUUUUAGUAUGUUUUAUAUACUUAAUUAUUUAUUAGAUAUCUUUUUUUGUAGUAUUUAUUAUUAAAUAUCAAUUUAUGUUGGAUUUAGCAAUUUUUUAUAGGAAGGGCAAAUGUCGUGCCAGCAGCCGCGGUUAUACGUUAUUUUCAAGAUUAAAUUUUUUGGUGGCAGUGUUUUUUUUUUUGUUGUUAUUUAUUUAAUUAAUGUUUGGUGGAAUAUCAUUUUUAUUUAUUUGUCUUUUAUUUUAUUUUCUGUAAAAGCUAUUUUUUAAACUAGGAUUAGAUACCCUAUUAUUUUAGAUUAUUUUUUUUUCCAGGGUAGUAUUUUUUGUAUUUGAAAUCUAAAGAAUUUGGCGGCAUUUUAUCUUUUUAGAGGAACCUGUUAUGUAAAUGAUAUUACACGAUUAGCUUUACUUUAUAUAUUUGUUUGUAUAUUUCCGUUAUAAGAAUAUUUAUGGAUAAUAUUUUCUUGUUUUUUAAUUAAAAUUUAUUUCAGGUCAAGGUGCAGCUUAUUAUAAAGUUUUAAAUGGGUUACAAUAAUAUAAUUUAAAUGGAUAUUUAAUUUAAAUUUUAUAUUGAAGGUGGAUUUAUUAGUAGGUUUUAGUAAUUUCUAUUUCCGAAUUAGUUCUGAAUUGUGUACAUAUCGCCCGUCGCUCUCAUUUAUUUGAGAUAAGUCGUAACAAAGUAGAUUUACUGGAAAGUGAAUCUGGAUUAUC